UACGGAAGGUGCAAGCGUUAAUCGGAAUUACUGGGCGUAAAGCGCGCGUAGGCGGUUGAAUAAGUCGGAUGUGAAAGCCCUGGGCUUAACCUGGGAACUGCAUUCGAUACUGUUUAACUAGAGUAUACUAGAGGGAAGUGGAAUUCCGGGUGUAGCGGUGAAAUGCGUAGAUAUCCGGAGGAACACCAAUGGCGAAGGCAACUUCCUGGGGUAAUACUGACGCUGAGGUGCGAAAGCGUGGGGAGCAAACAGG
rnacentral:rRNA from 1 species